rnacentral:rRNA from 1 species
CCUACGGGAGGCAGCAGUGAGGAAUAUUGGUCAAUGGGCGGGAGCCUGAACCAGCCAAGUCGCGUGAGGGAAGACGGUCCUAUGGAUUGUAAACCUCUUUAGGCGGGGAGCAAUGCCGGGCACGUGUGCCCGGAGGGAGAGUACCCGCAGAAUAAGCAUCGGCUAACUCCGUGCCUGCCGCCGCGGUAAUACGGAGGAUGCGAGCGUUAUCCGGAUUGAUUGGGUUUAAAGGGUGCGUAGGCGGAUUUUUAAGUCAGCGGUAAAAUGUCCGGGCUCAACCCGGGCCGGCCGUUGAAACUGGGGAUCUUGAGUGGGCGAGAAGUAUGCGGAAUGCGUGGUGUAGCGGUGAAAUGCGUAGAUAUCACGCAGAACUCCGAUUGCGAAGGCAGCAUACCGGCGCCCGACUGACGCUGAGGCACGAAAGCGUGGGGAUCGAACAGGAUUAGAUACCCGAGUAGUC